GACAGAGGAUGCAAGCGUUAUCCGGAAUGAUUGGGCGUAAAGCGUCUGUAGGUGGCUUUUUAAGUCCGCCGUCAAAUCCCAGGGCUCAACCCUGGACAGGCGGUGGAAACUACCAAGCUGGAGUACGGUAGGGGCAGAGGGAAUUUCCGGUGGAGCGGUGAAAUGCGCAGAUAUCAGGAGGAACACCGGUGGCGAAGGCGGGUCUCUGGGCCGAUACUGACGCUGAGGAGCGAAAGCGUGGGGAGCGAACAAG
rnacentral:rRNA from 1 species